rnacentral:lncRNA from 1 species
GCAGCUUUUAACUUGCGAAACUGUUUCUUUUAUCGGAUUAUAAUUGAAAUUUCGGGUAGGUAUUUGGUUUGUUAAUUGUUGUUAUGAGCAAAUUGCACAAAUCAUUACCACAACGCUGCAGAAUUAACACCAGAAACACAAAGGGAACAAUAAAUAAGAAAUGUUGCAACAAUCUCCUGGGCGUUGUUGCUGACGCAGAGAAAAUUACAACAAUCCUUGCAACCAAAAAACACCUUGAUAAUGCCAAUUCAUGCCAUUACUAAAGAUCCAUAGUCUCACAAAAUCCACAACACAAUAACCAACAAUUGAGUUAGGUGCUGGUACCGGAGCCAACUCCUGAGCCGAGUUGCAGCAGCAGCAGCAGAGAAAAUCACAACAACCAUUGCAACCAAAAACAUGUUAAUAAUGCUAAUUCGUUCGAAAAUAGAGACUUCCAAUAUAGAUCUAGCAGAAUCAUAAGACAAAAAGCAAACAAACUCUCUAACACUAGUAAUAAAAUGAAGAUUUAUUUAUUAUAUAUACUGCAAAAAGAAUAAUAAUAAUAAUAAUAGUAAUACAUAUCAAACCAAUAAUCAUAGCCAAACAUCCUAAGUCUCUACCAAAUCAAUCGCAGCAGCAGCAGAGAAAAUCACAACAACCAUUGCAACCAAAAACAUCUUAAUAAUGCUAAUUCGUUCGAAAAUAGAGACUUCCAAUAUAGAUCUAGCAGAAUCAUAAGACAAAAAGGAAACAAACUCUCUAACACUAGUAAUAAAAUGAAGAUUUAUUUAUUAUAUAUACUGCAAAAAGAAUAAUAAUAAUAAUAAUAAUAGUAAUACAUAUCAAACCAAUAAUCAUAGCCAAACAUCCUAAGUCUCUACCAAAUCAAUCACUCCAUCUCCAUCUUCCGCAAAAUGGACUCAGUGCCUCAGGAGAGCAACAGCAGAAACAAGUAGAGAAGUAGCAACCAAAGCACCAGAUUGAGCCAGAGAGAAUCCAGCUCCAGCAUCAGGUGCCGGUGCCGGAGCCAACUCCUGAGCCGAUGUUGCAGCAGCAGACAACACAACAACAAUCACUGCAACCAAAAACGACUUAACAAUGCUGUAUUGUGCCAUUUCUAAUUGGUGGAACAAGAAGAAGAACAAAGAGAUUGAGAAGAUGCGGCGAGAAUUAGGGUUUUGAUUGAUGAAAAUGAAGGGAAAGGGAGUAGUGAAUUUAUUUAUAGGAGGGUGAGGGAACGCGUGAAGGGAGACAGCUGGCACAGAGAACGAGAAGAUGCGGCGAGAAUUAGGGUUUUGAUUGAUGAAAAUGAAGGGGAAGGGAGUAGUGAAUUUAUUUAUAGGAGGGUGAGGGAACGCGUGAAGGGAGACAGCUGGCACAGAGAAAGAGAGAGAGAGUUUUCAUCGAAUCGGCGGGGGCAUGUGAAAGCACGAAAGUUGUUAGUUGCGGGCGCUGGAAAAAUUUGCUGGACACGUUGCAC